ACUAUCGUUAACUGAAUACAUAGGUUAACGAGGCGAACCGGGGGAACUGAAACAUCUAAGUACCCCGAGGAAAAGAAAUCAACCGAGAUUCCCCCAGUAGCGGCGAGCGAACGGGGAGCAGCCCAGAGUCUGAAUCAGCUUGUGUGUUAGUGGAACGGUCUGGAAAGUCCGACGGUACAGGGUGAUAGUCCCGUACACCAAAAUGCACAGGCUGUGAACUCGAAGAGUAGGGCGGGACACGUGGUAUCCUGUCUGAAUAUGGGGGGACCAUCCUCCAAGGCUAAAUACUCCUGACUGACCGAUAGUGAACCAGUACCGUGAGGGAAAGGCGAAAAGAACCCCGGCGAGGGGAGUGAAAAAGAACCUGAAACCGUGUACGUACAAGCAGUGGGAGCACCUUCGGGUGUGACUGCGUACCUUUUGUAUAAUGGGUCAGCGACUUAUAUUCUGUAGCAAGGUUAACCGUAUAGGGGAGCCGCAGGGAAACCGAGUCUUAACUGGGCGUUAAGUUGCAGGGUAUAGACCCGAAACCCGGUGAUCUAGCCAUGGGCAGGUUGAAGGUUGGGUAACACUAACUGGAGGACCGAACCGACUAAUGUUGAAAAAUUAGCGGAUGACUUGUGGCUGGGGGUGAAAGGCCAAUCAAACCGGGAGAUAGCUGGUUCUCCCCGAAAGCUAUUUAGGUAGCGCCUCGUGAACUCAUCUUCGGGGGUAGAGCACUGUUUCGGCUAGGGGGUCAUCCCGACUUACCAACCCGAUGCAAACUACGAAUACCGAAGAAUGUUAUCACGGGAGACACACGGCGGGUGCUAACGUCCGUCGUGAAGAGGGAAACAACCCAGACCGCCAGCUAAGGUCCCAAAGUCAUGGUUAAGUGGGAAACGAUGUGGGAAGGCACAGACAGCCAGGAUGUUGGCUUAGAAGCAGCCAUCAUUUAAAGAAAGCGUAAUAGCUCACUGGUCGAGUCGGCCUGCGCGGAAGAUGUAACGGGGCUAAACCAUGCACCGAAGCUGCGGCAGCGACACUAUGUGUUGUUGGGUAGGGGAGCGUUCUGUAAGCCUGCGAAGGUGACCUGUGAGGGUUGCUGGAGGUAUCAGAAGUGCGAAUGCUGACAUAAGUAACGAUAAAGCGGGUGAAAAGCCCGCUCGCCGGAAGACCAAGGGUUCCUGUCCAACGUUAAUCGGGGCAGGGUGAGUCGACCCCUAAGGCGAGGCCGAAAGGCGUAGUCGAUGGGAAACAGGUUAAUAUUCCUGUACUUGGUGUUACUGCGAAGGGGGGACGGAGAAGGCUAUGUUAGCCGGGCGACGGUUGUCCCGGUUUAAGCAUGUAGGCUGGUUGUCCAGGCAAAUCCGGAUAAUCAAGGCUGAGGUGUGAUGACGAGGCACUACGGUGCUGAAGUAACAAAUGCCCUGCUUCCAGGAAAAGCCUCUAAGCAUCAGGUAACAUUAAAUCGUACCCCAAACCGACACAGGUGGUCAGGUAGAGAAUACCAAGGCGCUUGAGAGAACUCGGGUGAAGGAACUAGGCAAAAUGGUGCCGUAACUUCGGGAGAAGGCACGCUGGUGUGUAGGUGAAGCCCCUGCGGGUGGAGCUGAGACCAGUCGAAGAUACCAGCUGGCUGCAACUGUUUAUUAAAAACACAGCACUGUGCAAACACGAAAGUGGACGUAUACGGUGUGACGCCUGCCCGGUGCCGGAAGGUUAAUUGAUGGGGUUAUCCGUAAGGAGAAGCUCUUGAUCGAAGCCCCGGUAAACGGCGGCCGUAACUAUAACGGUCCUAAGGUAGCGAAAUUCCUUGUCGGGUAAGUUCCGACCUGCACGAAUGGCGUAAUGAUGGCCAGGCUGUCUCCACCCGAGACUCAGUGAAAUUGAACUCGCUGUGAAGAUGCAGUGUACCCGCGGCAAGACGGAAAGACCCCGUGAACCUUUACUAUAGCUUGACACUGAACAUUGAGCCUUGAUGUGUAGGAUAGGUGGGAGGCUUUGAAGCGUGGACGCCAGUCUGCGUGGAGCCAACCUUGAAAUACCACCCUUUAAUGUUUGAUGUUCUAACGUUGGCCCCUGACCGGGGUUGCGGACAGUGUCUGGUGGGUAGUUUGACUGGGGCGGUCUCCUCCCAAAGCGUAACGGAGGAGCACGAAGGUUAGCUAAUCCUGGUCGGACAUCAGGAGGUUAGUGCAAUGGCAUAAGCUAGCUUGACUGCGAGCGUGACGGCGCGAGCAGGUGCGAAAGCAGGUCAUAGUGAUCCGGUGGUUCUGAAUGGAAGGGCCAUCGCUCAACGGAUAAAAGGUACUCCGGGGAUAACAGGCUGAUACCGCCCAAGAGUUCAUAUCGACGGCGGUGUUUGGCACCUCGAUGUCGGCUCAUCACAUCCUGGGGCUGAAGUAGGUCCCAAGGGUAUGGCUGUUCGCCAUUUAAAGUGGUACGCGAGCUGGGUUUAGAACGUCGUGAGACAGUUCGGUCCCUAUCUGCCGUGGGCGCUGGAGAAUUGAGGGGGGCUGCUCCUAGUACGAGAGGACCGGAGUGGACGCAUCACUGGUGUUCGGGUUGUCAUGCCAAUGGCACUGCCCGGUAGCUAAAUGCGGAAGAGAUAAGUGCUGAAAGCAUCUAAGCACGAAACUUGCCCCGAGAUGAGUUCU
rnacentral:rRNA from 1 species